CCUACGGGAGGCAGCAGUGAGGAAUAUUGGUCAAUGGGCGCGAGCCUGAACCAGCCAAGUAGCGUGAAGGAUGACUGCCCUACGGGUUGUAAACUUCGUUUAUAAAGGAAUAAAGUGAGGCACGUGGGCCUUUUUGUAUGUAUUUUAUGAAUAAGGAACGGCUAACUCCGUGCCAGCAGCCGUGGUAAUACGGAGGAUUCGAGCGUUAACCGGAUUAAUUGGGUUUAAAGGGAGCGUAGAUGGGGUGUUAAGUCAGUUGUGAAAGUUUGCGGCGCAACCGUAAAAUUGCAAUUGAUACUGGCAGCCUUGAGUGCAGGUGAGGUAGGCGGAAUUCGUGGUGUAGCGGUGAAAUGCUUAGAUAUCACGAAGAACUCCGAUUGCGAAGGCAGCCUACUAAACUGCCACUGACAUUGAUGCUCGAAAGUGUGGGUAUCAAACAGGAUUAGAUACCCCUGUAGUC
rnacentral:rRNA from 1 species